ACCUCACUUGUGGGGGGAUUAGUGGCGAACGGGUGAGUAACACGUGAGUAACCUGCCCUUGACUCUGGGAUAAGCCUGGGAAACCGGGUCUAAUACUGGAUACGACCUUCUGGCGCAUGCCAUGUUGGUGGAAAGCUUUUGUGGUUUUGGAUGGACUCGCGGCCUAUCAGCUUGUUGGUGGGGUAAUGGCCUACCAAGGCGACGACGGGUAGCCGGCCUGAGAGGGUGACCGGCCACACUGGGACUGAGACACGGCCCAGACUCCUACGGGAGGCAGCAGUGGGGAAUAUUGCACAAUGGGCGCAAGCCUGAUGCAGCGACGCCGCGUGAGGGAUGAAGGCCUUCGGGUUGUAAACCUCUUUCAGUAGGGAAGAAGCGAAAGUGACGGUACCUGCAGAAGAAGCGCCGGCUAACUACGUGCCAGCAGCCGCGGUAAUACGUAGGGCGCAAGCGUUAUCCGGAAUUAUUGGGCGUAAAGAGCUCGUAGGCGGUUUGUCGCGUCUGCCGUGAAAGUCCGGGGCUUAACUCCGGAUCUGCGGUGGGUACGGGCAGACUAGAGUGCAGUAGGGGAGACUGGAAUUCCUGGUGUAGCGGUGAAAUGCGCAGAUAUCAGGAGGAACACCGAUGGCGAAGGCAGGUCUCUGGGCUGUAACUGACGCUGAGGAGCGAAAGCAUGGGGAGCGAACAGGAUUAGAUACCCUGGGUAGUCCAUGCCGUAAACGUUGGGCACUAGGUGUGGGGGACAUUCCACGUUUUCCGCGCCGUAGCUAACGCAUUAAGUGCCCCGCCUGGGGAGUACGGCCGCAAGGCUAAAACUCAAAGGAAUUGACGGGGGCCCGCACAAGCGGCGGAGCAUGCGGAUUAAUUCGAUGCAACGCGAAGAACCUUACCAAGGCUUGACAUGAACCGGAAUGAUGCAGAGAUGUGUCAGCCACUUGUGGCCGGUUUACAGGUGGUGCAUGGUUGUCGUCAGCUCGUGUCGUGAGAUGUUGGGUUAAGUCCCGCAACGAGCGCAACCCUCGUUCCAUGUUGCCAGCGGGUUAUGCCGGGGACUCAUGGGAGACUGCCGGGGUCAACUCGGAGGAAGGUGGGGACGACGUCAAAUCAUCAUGCCCCUUAUGUCUUGGGCUUCACGCAUGCUACAAUGGCCGGUACAAAGGGUUGCGAUACUGUGAGGUGGAGCUAAUCCCAAAAAGCCGGUCUCAGUUCGGAUUGAGGUCUGCAACUCGACCUCAUGAAGUUGGAGUCGCUAGUAAUCGCAGAUCAGCAACGCUGCGGUGAAUACGUUCCCGGGCCUUGUACACACCGCCCGU
rnacentral:rRNA from 1 species